UGAACAGCCCGAUGCACCAAAUGACGCUGGCUACUUCCUUGUUUCCUUUGCUACCCCCUUAGGCCCUGGUGAAACCGUUACACUUGAGGUGCUAUACAUAUUGACUCAUUCCUUGGAACCUUUCCCUGUGGAGAUAACCCAGUCAGAGUCUCAGUUGGUUUACUACCAUGAUAGUGCAGUGGUUCUGUCACCUUAUCGUAUUAAGCAACAGGCGACUUUCUUUAAGACUCCUAGUACUAGAGUAGAGUCGUUCACCAGCGUCGAACCUGCUAACCGAGCUGGGAAAGAGAUCAAAUAUGGACCGUAUGAGGAUCGUGCUCCAUAUUCCUACGCACCUGUUAUCGUCCACUUUGAGAAUAACAGUCCGUUUGCUGUUGUUGAGGAACUCGUGCGUGAAAUUGAGAUUUCGCACUGGGGUAGCCUUCAGAUUACAGAGAAUUACAGGUUGACCCAUGGGGGAGCUCAGCAUAAGGGCGUUUUCUCAAGGUAUGCAAUGGUCUUAAUGGCGUGUAUUGUACAUGAUUAUUAACACGUAUCUCAUUUUUCUUGAGUUUUUGCAGGGUGGAAUAUCAAUCUAGACGUUCUAUCAGUGGUUCAUCCUCUUUCAAUGCGCUCCUUGCAGUACUUCCUCCCAGAGUUAACUCUGUCUACUACAGGGAUGACAUCGGAAACAUCUCAACUUCACAUUUGCGUACAGGCUUUAAGAAGGUAUACUUGUGUUGCCCUCUUCUCUUCAUCUCUGGCCAUUUAGGCAGUUAUAUUUAUUCCCUACAAAUUUCUCCUAUGGCUUUAACUGUUCAACGUUGUGGUAUGUUACAUCAAUUUACAGUGAUGCUCAGGAGCGUCUACUUCAAACUUUCUACCUCAAAAAGUGAUCAAAAUGCGUUAUUAAUUCUAAAAACAAGUGUUGGUCUUUGCAGUCAGAACUUGAAUUUGAACCGCGAUACCCGUUAUUUGGAGGGUGGAGAGCAACAUUUGUCAUCGGCUAUCGAGUUCCAUUGGAGGACUAUCUCUUUGAAGCACCCGAUGGCAGACGUUACUUGAACUUUACCUUUGGCUGCCCGCUCGUUGAAACUAUAGUUAACAAGUUGACUCUCAAAGUGGGUGUAGUUAGCAUUUUUCUACCAACGUUAUCAUUUCGUUUUCUUUAAUCCAAGCUCUGUUUUUAACACAUGAAGAUGUUGUUUCAGGUCGUGCUCCCUGAAGGAUCAAAGGACCCUUCUGCUGUUUUGCCCUUCGCAGUGAAUCAAGACUUACAGGUACAUAAUCAACGGCACAGAUACAUGACCUGCAUUUGCAAAGUUAUGGUUAACAUGUAAUCUAUAAAUGGUCUUGUGUCGUCCAGGUCAAAUACUCAUACCUUGACAUCGUGGGAAGAACCGUGGUUGUGUUGCAAAAGGAUAAUGUAGUUCCCACUCACAACGUACCCUUCCAGGUAAAAGUUAUCUAGAUUAGAUCAUCAUGAUGUUCUUGUUAUGUGUUUUAAUAGACCAAGAACUCUAAAAACCUUGGUGCAAUAAUAGUGUUAUUAGCAAUAUGCUCAAAACUCAGCUUGCUCCAUAAGUUCACAAACUGUUGUUACAAAACUGACUAGUGUUAUUGUGAUUGGUGUAUGUGCAGGUGUACUAUACGUUCAAACCAAUAUACAUGCUUGCGGAACCACUCAUGCUUGUAUCGGCUUUCUUCUUUGUCUUUGUGACUUCUCUUGCAUAUGUACACAUCGAUCUCAAUAUCGUCAAGAAGUAGAAAUCUCAGAGAAAAGUCCUUCAUAUCGCCAACAACCAAUCUCUAGAGCGAAAUUUAUCAAAACCUAAAGAACCUCUAAAACAGAAGCUUUAUAGAAAUAAAACAAAAUCUAAAGAUUCGCAAAAGGAAAAGCUUUAUAUGUACCUUUUUCCCUUACAAUUUGCACUCAUAUUCUUAGUUUUGAUUUGGAAUCAGAAGAACAUGUCGUCUGGAUCUUAUCUUUGUUUUGAUCAAAAAAAUUUCGUCGGUGACAAAGAAAACUGUUCGUUUGUUCCGGGAAAAAAAAUUAACAGAUACCUAAUGGGUUUCUUUUGAUAAAAACGAUUUUUUGGGCCUAACCCAAAUUUAAAACAUCACAGCCCAAAUCAUAAUCUAAAUUUCAUUUUCAUUGAGAUUUUGAUUAAUAUAGUGUUUAUAAAAAUGAUUUACAGAAAUAAAUUAUUGAAAGGUUAAAAAAUAUGAAUCUUCUUUCUUUCUGUAAAAACAUUAAUUUAAUUUGAAAUAUAAAGACUUUGUUUACAUAAAAUCAGUAAAAUUGAUAGCAUAUUAAUAUUUACAAAACUAUUAACAUUUCAAUAUUAUAUAUCUGCAAUGUAGCUUUUUGUAAAAGAAAAUUGCACAUUUACAAUGGAAAACAAAUAAAAGUUAUUAAAAAAGAAUACUAAUACCGCGAUACAAUUCUCUAACAACAUCGUGACACAUCUAAAAUAUAUAAUAUUCACAUGGAAAACAAAAAUCAUUCUUGCAAAAGUCAACACCCGCGCGGGCGCGCAGAUCCAUCUCUAGUUUUUUGUUAAAACUACUCACAUAUCAAAACAGAAGGAGUAUAAAUUAUUUGUCACUGAAGUUUAGAAUGUUGUUUUCUUGUGUUUAGUAGAUGGUUCUAAACUUCUAAAUCUACUAAGAUAAAAUUGCAGGCAAAGACAAUGAGAAAACGACAGAUAUUGUAGUAUCGAGGUAAAGACAAUGAGGAAACGCCAGAACUUGGUUUGCCUACACAUGGAUUUCUUGUCUUUUGCAAUCACAAUCACAUUCUUGCACAUCAAUAACUCCACAUGAUGAUAAACCAAGUUCCAAAGACAGUCACUUGUAAAGCAGUUUCAGUCUCUAUCACUCAAAUGAAUGUUUUCCUUCAUCUUAUAGCUAUGCCAAACAAUCUUGUAAAUCCAAAAGACCCUUCAAAAAACUUGUACUUUUCAAGACACACUCGAUCGCAUCAGUCAGAUUUGACCAACUGAUCAGUUGUUAUUAGGCUACAGCUUUAGGCUACUCCGUUUUAUCACAUCUCCAUUAGGAAUUACUUUAACACAACAAAUGUUUUAUGCAACCAACUUAAAUUCUCCAAUCCUUUUGCUAACAACAGAACUAUCUUGAAAAUACCGAGUCUGAACACGACAUAGCCACAUGAGAAAGAACUUGAUACAUACCAAGCAUAACUAUAGUUAACCUUGAGUCUUCACGACUAGAAGAUCAUACACAUGGCUGAUUUUUUCUUUCCUGGACUUAAUGACUUAUUUCGCCAAAUAUAUAGAAGGUUUCGAAAAGCUACUAUAACACGGACUGGUUCAUUGUACUAAUCAGCGUAUUCAAUCAACUUUCUGUGAGAUUUCUCCACUGAGAAAAGUUGUUCUAGAUCACAAGACUUAGACACUAAACCAGAUUUCUAACAACUUUUCUUUGGAGUCCACUUGAUGUAAUUUUAAGAUGAAUGUUCAAUUUAUUCAUAAAUAAAAUAUUCAUAAAAAAACUGUAUGUACAUUAAGUGGAACUUGUUUUAGAGUUUUUUUUAGAACAUUGCAUCAUGAAACUAAUUUUGAGUGCUAAACCAAAAAAAAAAAGGAAAUCAGCCAGCUUCCCUCCUUUCUUGCUACGCAAACUACUCUUGUUUGCAACAAUAAUUAUCUCUGCUCUACUAGAUGUCUCUGCAAAACCUGCAACCAAACUGUAACAUCCCGAAUUGUGAUAUGUAGAAAAGGUUAGAAGAAUUGAUUUGGGUACUUAUAUUACCAAAGUUGACUUACAUUUUCUGUCACACAUCUGUUUAGAACUCCAGAGUUAAGCGGGCUGGAGUAGUGAAAUGAUGGGUGACCUAUCGGGAAGUGAUUUGUGAUACCGUGCAAGUGAGGUGAAUAAUCCUAAGAUAGGAUCACUUUAGCUAGGUGUUGGAUAUGAACUGAGAAGUCAGACGACACUUCUGAGACUGAGAUGAAUUGGAAGGAUCGUCAAGAGAUGCGGAAUGGCUCUUGAUAUACCCACGAUAUAAAGUUAACCACCUAAAAAAGAAUAUAGUGCGUUGGCAUUGACCAUACUUUAACGAAACAUGUUUGUGACAUUGGGCUUUAAAAUCUAGAUUUGGAAGAAAAACUUGGUUUGAGUCUAUAUAAGACAAUUUUUCUUAUUAAAUAACUAAAUUUUAGCGUAUAUAUCAAUGAAAGUCUUAACUUAAAAAUAAAUUAUUCAAAUUAACAUUUUAAAUAUUAAGAUGAAAUCAAUAAAAAUAAUAUGUAGAUAUAUUAUUAAUUUAUAAAUAAUUAUGAUAAUAUAUUUUCACUAAUUGGCUCAGACCAUAUCUACAUAUUGAGAUUUCUUCAAAUAAUAGUUAUUCAAUUUAUAUGUUAUUAUUAAAUCUAAACCAUUUUAUUUAUUUCGGUCCGGUUCAGUGUUCAUUGGGUUUUAGAGGAUUGGACAUCCUAAACAUACAAUUUGGCAUAAUAAAAGUUACCCGUGAACAAAAUUGUAUUUGGUAUGAGAAGACCAACCGGACCCUGUCGAUUGUACCAAGACAAUUAGAUGUUUUAUCGCUUAUAAAUGGGCUUAUAAGAUGUCGAAAGCCUACUAAUAGUUAUACUACGGCCCAUUGAAUUUGAAAACGACAACAUCUCAUCUCGUUUUGAUUCUUAGAAACUCAUCCCUAAAUCGUUAGACUUUUUUUGUAGUUGACCGGAUCGUUGAUUCUCUCCUCACCAACCGAGAUCCUUCCACCGUCGAGAUCUCACUGUCUCUCACUUCACCGGUCCGAUCUUCCAAACCCUAUUCAAAUUCCAAUCUCACCAGCUCUUUGGUUUUAACAAGUGUUCUUCUUAGUGCAGUGACGAAAAUGGCUGCUCGUAACUGGAUCUUCGCCGUAGCUGUAUUCUUAUCGCUUUCGACAUUUUCCUCCGCUCAGGAUCUCCAGAUCGUCAAUGCCGAGCGAAGGGUAACUAUCUUCUCUUUGGCUUUACCGAUUCUCCGAUCUAUGUAGUUAUGCUUGGUUUAUAGAGUUACUGUGUGAUUGGUCACUUCAUGUAUAGAUAAUGUAUCUUUAAUUUCAUUAAUCUGAAAGUAUAAUGAUACAUUGAUGUUCACAGAAUCUCCUUUGGUGUUUUGAUUCUAAAAUUCUCCUCCUUUUGUGUUUGUUUAUCUCUCUGCAGAUUGAUUUAAGCUCUCAUAUCGUGAAGGCCUUCUUGACUCUUAAGGUAUCAUCUCUUACCCUCUUCCUUCAAAGGUUUAUAGUUGCUACUCCUUUUGCUAAAGGUUGGAACUUUAGGACUGUAUCUUGAUUUGUUUCUUUAGGUCGAAAACAUUGGGAAAGAUCCUGCUGCAGAUAUGCUUCUUGCUUUCCCACCUACCCAGAUCAAGAAUUUAGCUAUGGUCCAAGCCUUGGCAGUUACGGGCAAGAAGAAGAAGAAAAUCUACUUGCCUCUCGAUGUGAAGCCAAGUGAGCAGCCUGAUGCACCAAAUGACGCUGGCUACUUCCUUGUUUCCUUUGCUACCCCCUUAGGCCCUGGUGAAGCCGUUACGCUUGAGGUGCUAUACAUAUUGACUCAUUCCUUGGAACCUUUCCCAGUGGAGAUAACCCAGUCAGAGUCUCAGUUGGUUUACUACCGUGACAGUGCAGUGGUACUGUCACCUUAUCGUAUUAAGCAACAGACGACUUUCUUUAAGACUCCUAGUACUAGAGUAGAGUCGUUCACUAGCGUCGAACCUGCUAACCGAGCUGGGAAAGAGAUCAAAUAUGGAGCAUAUGAGGAUCGUGCUCCGUACUCCUACGCGCCUGUUAUCGUGCACUUUGAGAAUAACAGUCCGUUUGCCGUUGUUGAGGAGC
rnacentral:lncRNA from 1 species